CGGACCGGCGCACGGGUGCGUAACGCGUAUGCAACCUACCAUCAACAGGGGGAUAACACUGAGAAAUUGGUACUAAUACCCCAUAAUAUCUCAUGCGGCAUCGCAUGGGGUUGAAAACUCCGGUGGUUGAUGAUGGGCAUGCGUUGUAUUAGCUGGUUGGUGAGGUAACGGCUCACCAAGGCGACGAUACAUAGGGGGACUGAGAGGUUAACCCCCCACAUUGGUACUGAGACACGGACCAAACUCCUACGGAAGGCAGCAG
rnacentral:rRNA from 1 species